rnacentral:rRNA from 1 species
UACGUAGGGUCCGAGCGUUGUCCGGAAUUAUUGGGCGUAAAGGGCUCGUAGGCGGUUUGUCGCGUCGGGAGUGAAAACACGGGGCUUAACCCAGUGCCUGCUUCCGAUACGGGCAGACUAGAGGUAUGCAGGGGAGAACGGAAUUCCUGGUGUAGCGGUGAAAUGCGCAGAUAUCAGGAGGAACACCGGUGGCGAAGGCGGUUCUCUGGGCAUUACCUGACGCUGAGGAGCGAAAGUGUGGGGAGCGAACAGG